UACGUAGGUGACCAGCGUUGUCCGGAUUUACUGGGCGUAAAGAGCGCGCAGGCGGUCGUUCAAGUCGAGUGUGAAAGCCCCCCGGCUCAACUGGGGAGGGUCAUUCGAUACUGAUCGACUGGAAGGCAGGAGAGGGAAGCGGAAUUCCCGGUGUAGUGGUGAAAUGCGUAGAUAUCGGGAGGAACACCGAUGGCGAAGGCAGGUCUCUGGGCCAUAACUGACGCUGAGAAGCGAAAGCAUGGGGAGCGAACAGG
rnacentral:rRNA from 1 species